CGGGAGGGUGAGUAUGUCUGGGAAACUGCCUGAGUGGAGGGGAUAACUACUGGAAACGGUAGCUAAUACCGCAUAACGUCGCAAGACCAAAGAGGGGGACCUUCGGGCCUCUUGCCAUCGGAUGUGCCCAGAUGGGAUUAGCUAGUAGGUGGGGUAACGGCUCACCUAGGCGACGAUCCCUAGCUGGUCUGAGAGGAUGACCAGCCACACUGGAACUGAGACACGGUCCAG
rnacentral:rRNA from 1 species